ACGCAGGCGAGCACGCAGGCAGCUGCUGCCGCAAGAAGGCGCGGGCUCAGGCCCCGAUGCUGCCUCAAAGACGAGUGUGCAGGCCGCGAUGCCGCAGCCACGGGCGUGGGCCCCACAGCUGCCGCCGCCAACCCACAGGCGAGCGUGUAGGCGCGCGGAUUGCAUCCUUCCGUCGUUCCAUCGAGCCAGAGAAGAAAGAAGAGGAGGAAAAAUGGGUAGAGAAAGAUUUGACGGCGGCCAGCAAGAGCAGCCAGCAACAGGAAACCCUAACAAGGUUCCUCACUUCCCCUUGCGUGCGCAUUUAGGGCUAUAUGGGCUAGGCCCUGCAAAAAAAACAACAAAGAGAGGAAAAGAAAAGAAAAAGGAGCGGGCAGCAAAGAGCGCGCGCAUGACUAAUUGGAUGAAAUGGGACUGGAAGGCCUAACGGUUUUUUUUAACUUUUAUCAGAAAAUUAUAAAGUCCGCUAAAA
rnacentral:misc_RNA from 1 species